UGUCUGAUCAUGGCGGAGCUGCAGUCGAGUUUGUUACAUGGAGAUAUUUUCACUACUUUUCUUUAGUCGAGCACAAAGAAAAUAACAUUGUAGUUAAAUGUAAAUUGUGCUUUGGAUCAAAGAUCCCAUCUACUGCCCAAAACAGCAAUUCAAAUGUGCUGAAACAAGCUACAUAAGCAACAUGCUUCGACGAAGCUAGUAAAGAGAGACAGAGACUCCAAUGCUACUUUCCCUCCACCACCACCACUUAAGGAUUAACUCUGCCUCUGCUCAUCAUUCAGCACUGAAGGCGAGCCAAAGGGUCGGCAGGCUAUGAGAACAAUAUUUGUGCCUUUACAGAACUUGAUCAGUUCUUCCUGGGUCAGGUGCACAAAAUGAUAACCUGACUCUCGCCAGAUCCUUGUAGUUUGCUGAGCUCCACACAAGGAUCUGGGAUCGAGGGCAAUGCAAACUCUGUCACACCGCGGUGAGGG